rnacentral:rRNA from 1 species
GAUGAACGCUAGCUACAGGCUUAACACAUGCAAGUCGAGGGGUAACAAGAGAAAAGCUUGCUUUUCUUGUUGACGACCGGCGCACGGGUGAGUAACGCGUAUCCAACCUGCCUAUAACUAGGGAAUAACCUUGCGAAAGUAAGACUAAUACCCUAUGAUUUCCUUUGAUGACAUCAGAUUAGGAAUAAAGAUUUAUCGGUUAUAGAUGGGGAUGCGUCUGAUUAGCUUGUUGGCGGGGUAACGGCCCACCAAGGCAACGAUCAGUAGGGGCUCUGAGAGGAAGGUCCCCCACAUUGGGACUGAGACACGGUCCAAACUCCUACGGGAGGCAGCAGUGAGGAAUAUUGGUCAAUGGGCGGAAGCCUGAGCCAGCCAAGUAGCGUGCAGGAUGACGGCCCUAUGGGUUGUAAACUGCUUUUAUACAGGAAUAAAGUUAGCCACGUGUGGUUAUUUGUAGGUACUGUAUGAAUAAGGACCGGCUAAUUCCGUGCCAGCCGCCGCGGUAA